rnacentral:rRNA from 1 species
GCAUCGAUGAAGAACGCAGCGAAACGCGAUAGGUAAUGUGAAUUGCAGAAUUCCGUGAAUCAUCGAAUCUUUGAACGCACCUUGCGCUCCAUGGCAUUCCGUGGAGCAUGCCUGUUUGAGUGCCGCGAAAUCUCCCACCCCUAGCGGUUGCCGCAAGGCGCCGCCGGGCGGCGGGGUUGGUUGGGUGCCGCUGCCUGGGCUUUGGCCCAGGCUCGCCCGAAAUGCAUGAGCGCUUAGCACUCGCACCGUCUCGAGGGAAGGCGGCGGAGCUGGCAUCUGCGCAUGGCAUGAUACGUCAUUUGCUGUGUGGCAGCCCAGCGACCCGAGAGUGUGUGUGCGCUACUACACGCCCUUUCAUUUCUGGUCUCAAAUCAGGUAGGAUCACCCGCUGGACUUAAGCAUAUCAAUAAGCGGAGGA